rnacentral:rRNA from 1 species
ACGAACGCUGGCGGCGUGCCUAACACAUGCAAGUCGAACGGAUCCCGAAGGGGUAGCAAUAUUUUUUCGGGAUUAGUGGCGGACGGGUGAGUAACACGUAGGCAACCCACCCUCAGGAGGGGGACAACUCAGGGAAACUUGAGUUAAUACCCCAUAAGACCACGUACUGGGAUGUUUGUGGUAAAAGGAGCGAUUCACCUGGGGAUGGGCCUGCGGCCUAUCAGGUAGUUGGUGGGGUAACGGCCCACCAAGCCUAUGACGGGUAGCCGGUCUGAGAGGACGAACGGCCACACUGGAACUGAGAUACGGUCCAGACUCCUACGGGAGGCAGCAGUGGGGAAUUUUGCACAAUGGGCGAAAGCCUGAUGCAGCGACGCCGCGUGGAGGAUGAAGGCCUUCGGGUUGUAAACUCCUUUUCUCGGGAACGAUGAUGACGGUACCCGAGGAAUAAGCCACGGCUAACUCUGU